AACAACCCGAAAUGUGUUUUUGUUUCUUGUUAUUUUUGAACCUACAGAUACUUUAAACGGGAUUCCUAUAUUACCUUAUGGCUGUCAAGCCCUCACUUAGCAAUAAGGAUUGGAAGGGAAGGCAAAAGUAAGGCUGCGGUCACCCACCUAGCCUUGCUAGGAGUCAAAAGGCAGGAAACAGCAUUUGGGGGGUUA
rnacentral:other from 1 species